AUGAACGCUAGCUACAGGCUUAACACAUGCAAGUCGAGGGGCAGCAUGGUCUUAGCUUGCUAAGGCCGAUGGCGACCGGCGCACGGGUGAGUAACACGUAUCCAACCUGCCGUCUACUCUUGGACAGCCUUCUGAAAGGAAGAUUAAUACAAGAUGGCAUCAUGAGUCCGCAUGUUCACAUGAUUAAAGGUAUUCCGGUAGACGAUGGGGAUGCGUUCCAUUAGAUAGUAGGCGGGGUAAUGGCCCACCUAGUCUUCGAUGGAUAGGGGUUCUGAGAGGAAGGUCCCCCACAUUGGAACUGAGACACGGUCCAAACUCCUACGGGAGGCAGCAGUGAGGAAUAUUGGUCAAUGGGCGAGAGCCUGAACCAGCCAAGUAGCGUGAAGGAUGACUGCCCUAUGGGUUGUAAACUUCUUUUAUAAAGGAAUAAAGUCGGGUAUGCAUACCCGUUUGCAUGUACUUUAUGAAUAAGGAUCGGCUAACUCCGUGCCAGCAGCCGCGGUAAUACGGAGGAUCCGAGCGUUAUCCGGAUUUAUUGGGUUUAAAGGGAGCGUAGAUGGAUGUUUAAGUCAGUUGUGAAAGUUUGCGGCUCAACCGUAAAAUUGCAGUUGAUACUGGAUAUCUUGAGUGCAGUUGAGGCAGGCGGAAUUCGUGGUGUAGCGGUGAAAUGCUUAGAUAUCACGAAGAACUCCGAUUGCGAAGGCAGCCUGCUAAGCUGCAACUGACAUUGAGGCUCGAAAGUGUGGGUAUCAAACAGGAUUAGAUACCCUGGUAGUCCACACGGUAAACGAUGAAUACUCGCUGUUUGCGAUAUACUGCAAGCGGCCAAGCGAAAGCGUUAAGUAUUCCACCUGGGGAGUACGCCGGCAACGGUGAAACUCAAAGGAAUUGACGGGGGCCCGCACAAGCGGAGGAACAUGUGGUUUAAUUCGAUGAUACGCGAGGAACCUUACCCGGGCUUAAAUUGCAGAUGAAUUACGGUGAAAGCCGUAAGCCGCAAGGCAUCUGUGAAGGUGCUGCAUGGUUGUCGUCAGCUCGUGCCGUGAGGUGUCGGCUUAAGUGCCAUAACGAGCGCAACCCUUGUUGUCAGUUACUAACAGGUUCCGCUGAGGACUCUGACAAGACUGCCAUCGUAAGAUGUGAGGAAGGUGGGGAUGACGUCAAAUCAGCACGGCCCUUACGUCCGGGGCUACACACGUGUUACAAUGGGGGGUACAGAGGGCCGCUACCACGCGAGUGGAUGCCAAUCCCAAAAACCUCUCUCAGUUCGGAUUGGAGUCUGCAACCCGACUCCAUGAAGCUGGAUUCGCUAGUAAUCGCGCAUCAGCCACGGCGCGGUGAAUACGUUCCCGGGCCUUGUACACACCGCCCGUCAAGCCAUGAAAGCCGGGGGUACCUGAAGUGCGUAACCGCAAGGAGCGCCCUAGGGUAAAACUGGUGAUUGGGGCU
rnacentral:rRNA from 1 species